CAAAGAAUGGUUUAAUUUAGAAUUC
rnacentral:tRNA from 1 species